GGUAGCUAUGUUCGGAAGGGAUAACCGCUGAAAGCAUCUAAGCGGGAAGCCUACCUCAAGAUAAGAUUUCCCUAGGACUUUAUGUCCUCUAAAGAGCCGUUGAAGACUACGACGUUGAUAGGUUGGAUGUGGAAGCAUAGUGAUAUGUGAAGCUGACCAAUACUAAUUGCUCGUGAGGCUUGACUAUACAACACCCAAACAGUUGG
rnacentral:rRNA from 1 species